rnacentral:antisense_RNA from 1 species
AAAGAUCGCAGCCUGCGGCAGCUCCUACAGGUUUCCCAUUCCCCUGUGGGAGCUGCCGCAGGCUGCGAUCUUU